rnacentral:rRNA from 1 species
AGGGAACGCCGGCGGUAGGCCUAACACAUGCAAGUCGAACGGCAGCACAGUAAGAGCUUGCUCUUAUGGGUGGCGAGUGGCGGAGGGGUGAGGAAUACAUCGGAACCUACUUGUUCGUGGGGGAUAACUAAGGGUAACUUACUGUAAUACCGCAUACGACCUACUGGUGAUAGCAGGUGAUCUUCUCACCUUGCUCUAUUCAUUGAGCUGAUGUCGGUUUAGCUAGUUGGCGGGGUAAUGACCCACCAAUUCGACGAUGCGUAGCUGGUCUGAGAGGAUGUUCAGCCAACCUUGACCUGAGCUGCGGCCCCGACUCCUACGGGAGGCAGAAGUGGGGGAUAUUGGACAAUUGGCGCGAGCCUGGUCCCGCCCUCCCGCGUGGGUGAAGCAGGCGUUCGGGUUGUAAAGCCCUUUUGUUGGGCAAGAAAAGCAGCAGGUUAUUACCCUGCUGUUCUGACGGUACCCCAAGAAUAAGCACCGGCUAGCUUCGUG